rnacentral:tmRNA from 1 species
GGGGGUGUACUGGUUUCGACGGGAUCGUGGGCGGUCGGGUAAGCGAGCCGUUGCCCCGGGCAACGCUAAAACCGGGAAAUUAAAAAUGAACUGACAAUAGCGAAUAUUGCCUCGCGGCCUGAUUAGGCUGCGCGUCGGCCCGGAGUCCCCGCUGCUCCGGUUCCCGGCGUCAAUUUAGCGGGCCAUGACCAUGCCUAAGCUUUGCCGCAUGGCCACAUCAUGAAGCUACUGAACCCUUGAGCCCGUCUGCGGGCGCCUGGGAGAGGGAAUGUUAAAUCGCAGACUGCGCUCGGAGAAAGCCUGGCAGUCGCUUUUUCGGACAGGGGUUCGAUUCCCCUCACCUCCACCA